AAAAAUACGAUUUAGGGGCUGAUUCAAACGACAUGUGUCAUAUACAACCUUUAUGCGAUGCAUUAAGGUUGGGAGUGACACAUGACGUCUGAAUCGUCCUCUAAAGUAGAAGCCUUUAUAAUGACUAUGA